UAACACUUUCUCUCUCAUGAUUUCCGGCGCUCCCUUUUCUCUCUCCUCGCGAGUUCCUAUCAGGAGCUCCUUAUUAUCUCUCCUCCAUUUUUUCUCUCCUUCGUGAUUCUCUCUCCUCACUUGCUGCAACCACCGCGCCACCACCUUCUCCACGCUUCCACCAUCCACCGUGCCGGAACUAUCACCACCCUUCCAUUUCCGACCGCCACCAUAUCUACGCCUUCUCCUAUUGGAGGAUUGAAGAAAUUGUGAAAAUUUUCUCGCAAAAUCCACUACUCCGCGCGCCGCCACCACUCCGCUGACCGCCAUCAUAUCUACGCCUUCUCCUCUGUGUUUUGUGUUUGCGGGUAUUUUCUUGUUCGAUAAUAAGAUUGCUGACAUGGAUGAGCAAAUACGUUCAGAGUCUACUCUGAAACUGGUUGAUCUGGAGAUAUAUUAACCUCUUUGUUAGAUACUCCUUGUAAGACUAUAGAUAUAAAACUGGUUGAUUGAAAGAUAUCUACCCCAGUUGGUACAUGGUUAUGAGUCCCCAUUAAUAGCUUAUAUACCAGAUGCCACAAUAAGUUAUAAACAUGUGUUUUCUGUUUCAAAACUACAUUAAUAAUGGUCCCAGACCUAUAAGCUAAGGUAAGGGUUAAACUGUAUUUUUCUUUCUUUUUAAGAAAGUUGUGCAAAUAAUGUUUAUUUUACCA